rnacentral:rRNA from 1 species
AGUGAACGCCGGCGGUAGGCCUAACACAUGCAAGUCGAACGGCAGCACAGAGGAGCUUGCUCCUUGGGUGGCGAGUGGCGGACGGGUGAGGAAUACAUCGGAAUCUACUCUGUCGUGGGGGAUAACGUAGGGAAACUUACGCUAAUACCGCAUACGACCUACGGGUGAAAGCAGGGGAUCUUCGGACCUUGCGCGAUUGAAUGAGCCGGUGUCGGAUUAGCUAGUUGGCGGGGUAAAGGCCAACCAAGGCGACGAUCCGUAGCUGGUCUGAGAGGAUGAUCAGCCACCCUGGAACUGGGACACGGUCCAGACUCCUACGGGAGGCAGCAGUGGGGAAUAUUGGACAAUGGGCGCAAGCCUGAUCCAGCCAUACCGCGUGGGUGAAGAAGGCCUUCGGGUUGUAAAGCCCUUUUGUUGGGAAAGAAAUCCAUCUGGUUAAUACCCGGGUGGGAUGACGGUACCCAAAGAAUAAGCACCGGCUAACUUCGUGCCAGCAGCCGCCGUAA